UGUGUGUGUGUGUGUGUGUGUGUGUGUGUGUAUCUGUGAAAGAGAGAGAAGGCAAGAGGAAUGGAAUGAGCUCAUGUGUGUGAACAAUGAGAAAGUGUAUGCUGUCUAUUUCCAUAGGAUCCAUUAGCAUCCAAUAUUUAAAAGCAGCUGGGAAGUUUAUUCGUGACAUGUCAGGGGACAAUCUCAGGUAUCAGAUCUCACCUUCUCUUUUAUGCGACACAGUCUUAUUGUUGCUCACCACUGUGUCUGUCAGCUUUUGUGUAUCCUGGCUCCACCCUCCAUCUCACCACAGAAACACCAGGUUGACAGAAAUCCCAUGCUCCAUUCACCAGGAUUCUAGGGAUCUGAACCCAUGUCUUUACACUUCCAUGGCACGCACUUUUACUGACUGACCCAUUUCCCCAGCCCUGCUCAAAUGAGUUCUAGAGACGCUUAGUCCCGUCUUCCCUCUCCAGCCUCCCUCCUGCUCUUCCUCUCAUCUUCGCUCCGUCCUUCUUUUCCUCCUUCUCAGUUUUUCAUCUGUUCAUAUGCAUAGACUUUUUGACCUU
rnacentral:lncRNA from 1 species